UACGUAGGGGGCAAGCGUUGUCCGGAAUUACUGGGCGUAAAGGGCGCGUAGGCGGCCUUCUAAGUCGAACGUGAAAUCCCCGGGCUCAACCCGGGAACUGCGUCCGAGACUGAAAGGCUCGAAUCCGGGAGAGGGAUGUGGAAUUCCAGGUGUAGCGGUGAAAUGCGUAGAUAUCUGGAGGAACAUCGGUGGCGAAGGCGGCAUCCUGGACAGAUAUUGACGCUGAGGUGCGAAAGCGUGGGGAGCAAACAGG
rnacentral:rRNA from 1 species